rnacentral:rRNA from 1 species
UACGUAGGGGGCAAGCGUUGUCCGGAAUCAUUGGGCGUAAAGAGCGCGUAGGCGGCCAGAUAAGUCCGGUGUGAAAGUCACAGGCUCAACCUGGGAAUGCCGCAGGAAACUGUCUGGCUUGAGUCCGGAAGGGGCGAGUGGAAUUCCUGGUGUAGCGGUGAAAUGCGCAGAUAUCAGGAGGAACACCAAUGGCGAAGGCAGCUCGCUGGAACGGUACUGACGCUGAGGCGCGAAAGCGUGGGGAGCGAACAGG